CUCCGUUGCAAAAAUUUACUUUGCAAAUAAUAGUAUAGAUUUUUAAUUUGUUAAUUGUGCUCUUCUCUAAAACAGUGAUGUGCAAAGGGUUCGAGGCGCUAAAGUAAGUUUUUUAAAAAAAAAACUUAUUUUCAACUACAUUAAAAAUAUUUUUCUAAUACAACUGUACUAGAUGUUUUGUCCGCACAUGCGAGCUUAAUCGUUUUACAAAUAUAUAUUAGUUUAUAUUUUAGUAAUUCAAAAAUCAGCAUGAUAACUUAUUAUUUAUGUUUUCAAAAACAUUAAAUCAAACAUCAAAUUAUAUAUAUAUAUAUAUCGUAAAUUUAAAUAAAAUAUAUAUGUUUAUUAUUGUACUGAAAUUUUAAAAGAAAACAUUUACAUAUUAAAAAUAUUUUAGUAAAUAUAUUUAUUGUAAUUUAGUUAAUUAAUAUUUAAUUAUAAAUUGUUUAUUUGUU
rnacentral:lncRNA from 1 species